rnacentral:rRNA from 1 species
CCUACGGGGUGCAGCAGUGAGGAAUAUUGGUCAAUGGGCGCGAGCCUGAACCAGCCAAGUAGCGUGAAGGAUGACUGCCCUACGGGUUGUAAACUUCUUUUAUCAAGGAAUAAAGUCAGGCACGUGUGCCCUUUUGUAUGUACUUUAUGAAUAAGGAUCGGCUAACUCCGUGCCAGCAGCCGCGGUAAUACGGAGGAUCCGAGCGUUUUGCGGAUUUAUUGGGGUUAAAGGGAGCGUAGAGGGGUUGUUAAGUUCGGUGUGAAAGUUUGCGGCUCAACCCUAAAAUUGCAGUUGAUACUGGCGGCAUUGAGUGGAGGUGUGGUAGGCGGAAUGCGUGGUGUAGCGGUGAAAUGCUUAGAUAUCACGAAGAACUCCGAUUGCGAAGGCAGCCUACUAAACUGCCACUGACAUUGAUGCUCGAAAGUGUGGGUAUCAAACAGGAUUAGAUACCCUAGUAGUC